NNACAUGGAGAGUUUGAUCCUGGCUCAGGAUGAACGCUGGCGGCGUGCUUAACACAUGCAAGUCGAACGAACACUUUCGGGUGUUAGUGGCGGACGGGUGAGUAACGCGUGAGGAUCUGCCCUCAGGUGGGGGACAACAGUUGGAAACGACUGCUAAUACCGCAUAUGGCGAGAGCUAAAAGAUUUAUUGCCUGAGGAUGAACUCGCGUCUGAUUAGCUAGUUGGGGGUGUAAUGGACUCCCAAGGCGACGAUCAGUAGCUGGUCUGAGAGGAUGAUCAGCCACACUGGGACUGAGACACGGCCCAGACUCCUACGGGAGGCAGCAGUGGGGAAUUUUCCGCAAUGGGGGCAACCCUGACGGAGCAACGCCGCGUGGGGGAGGAAUGUCUGUGGAUUGUAAACCCCUUUUCUCAGGGAAGAAGUCCUGACGGUACCUGAGGAAUCAGCAUCGGCUAAC
rnacentral:rRNA from 1 species